GAGCCAUCGCCGCAAAGGAGAAGCCGGAGAAGAGGAGCGGCGAUGGAUGGCGGUAGCGAGCUCGGUGGUGCACGAGGUGCUAGGCUGUCGAGCUAUGGACGUCGAUAAGCCCAUCAUCGAACUACAUUAUCAACGUCCUCGCUGACGAGGACUUCGACUUCGGCUUCGAUGGCGAUGGCGUUUUGGAGGCCGUUGGUGACCUCUUCGUUGAUUCCGGCUGUGUCGAGGACUAUGAAGAAACCUGAUUGCUUUGGGACAAAAUUUUGGAGAAGUUGGGCAAACAUGGGUUCGUGUGGCUUUACUUUGCUAUAUGUUCACAUCUCUUGUGUGAAGACAUGGUAUAGUUUCCACCCUUAUUAGAGGAGAAUGAAAGAUGGACUACUUUACAAGUGUUCCUAUAAUAAGGUGCUUUGAUUUUUUCUGAGGAGAAAAUAUUGCACAAUGUCUUGCUAUUUUCCCUUCCGAUAAUAAAAAGACUUGAUUUUAGGCAUUUGACAAUAAAUUCUGUUAUAUUGCUGAACACACCUCUCUUGUCCAGUUGAGAAUAAAAGGCCUUGGAGCAUAUGGUCAUGUAGAUGAAAUCAUCAAUGAAUCACAGUCAACAAGUUUCAAUUCCCCACCCCUGAUGAGCAACAUGCUCCACCCAUCAUAAGUUUCAGUGAUGCAUCAUUCGGUUAUCUGGGGGAGCCUACCUUGUUUAAGAAUUUGAACUUUGGAAUAAUCUGGACAGUGGAAUAGCUUACUUGGGGUCAUUGGGGUGAUGCACAUGAGGAAAGUGUUUGCAGCUUGAAAACUCUAAACCUGUCCUGGUUGAAUAUCAGCAAGAGACUAGUUGAACUUGGAAGUGUUUUCUCUGGCUGUCUUAAGCAUAGUCUCACUCAUUUGUACUUAACAAGGACAUAUCUUACAGGAGAUAUACCAGACUGGAUUGGGGACAUAAAAAAUCUCAAGGUUCUUGAUCUUUCUCUCAACUCAAUCUUCGGCUCUGUGUCUUCAUCCCUAGCAAGGCUCUGUGCCUUAAUCAAUUAACAGGAAUAGUAACAGAGGAGAUUGGAAAUCUUGCAGAGUUAGCACAUUUGGAUCUUUCUCAUAAUCAGCUGAGGGGUAAUAUAUCUGAAGAUCACUUCACCCAACUACAUAAAUUAGAAACACUUGAUAUGUCUCAUAAUUCACUGGUUUUCAUUGUGAGUUUGGACUGGGUUCCUCCUUUUCUUCCCAACCUAUUGGGAAUCAGCUCUUGCUCAGUUGGUCAAGAAUUCCUAACAUGGCUUCAAACACAGCACAAAUUGCAAGUGCUUGAAAUGCCUCACUCCGGAAUUUCAGACACCAUGCCUGACUGGUUAUGUAAUUUGAUUUCUCGCAACCUUGUUCAUUUAGACUUGUCUUAUAAUCAGAUUCAGGGGAUGAUACCCAAAUUAUAAACUUCAACUAGCAUGGAAUAUCUUGAUCUUUCUUCUAAUUUGUUCUCAGGUCAUGUACCUGAUUGGUUGUUUCAAAUGGAGGGACUUGCAAGCAUCGAUAUCUCUAAAAAUUAUUUAUCAGGUGAGCUCCCUGAUUGCUGGUCGAAUUCAUCUGCAUUAUUACAUGUAAAUUUGGCAUACAAUAAUAUAUCUGGAACUAUACCAGAUUCAUUAUGGCAUCUUCAUAAACUAAAUUCAUUAUGGUUGAGCCACAAUAAAUUAUAUGGUGAGCUCCCGAAUUCCCUGAAGAACCUCAAUCAAUUGCUCGCUCUUGAUCUCAGCUACAAUAACUUCACUGCAUAUCAACAUGUGUGGGAAAACAUCCACCAUAUCUGACCAUUCUCAUAUUAAAGUCAAAUGCCUUUGUUAAUCACAUCCUUGAGGAAGUUUCUCAACUCAAACAUCCACAAAUACUUGAUUUGUCAAGCAUUAAUCUCUCAGGUCCUAUUCCAAAGAGUAUAGGCAACUUGACUGCCUUGCAAAUGAUUCCAGAGACUUUUGAUUCGGUGCCCAUUUUGCUCGAAUACAACAAAAACAUGUUCUUGAAUUUGAGAGGAAGAGAAGAUGAAUAUGAUGGAUUUCAUGUUGGAGAUGUAUAUUACAUUGACCUUUCCAACGAUCAAUUGUCAGGGAACAUCCCUGAAGAGCUAGUACGUUUGUAUGGUCUUAGAAAAUUAAACCUCUCUGGAAAUAUUUUAGAAGGUGAGAUCCCUGACAAAUUAUGUGGAAUGCAGCACUUGGAUUCACUAGACUUAUUAAGAAACAAGCUCUUAGGGAGAAUAGCUGCAACUUUAUCAGACUUGACAUUCCUAGAUCACUUUAAUGUACCAUAUAAUGACUUGUCAGGAAGGAUACCAUCAGGUAACCAGUUCAGCACAUUUAAUGACCCUCACCAUUUACAUUGGAAAUCAUCUUUGCGGAUUCCCUCUUGAGUGAUAAGUGCACUAAAGAUGAUGGAAUAUUUAAGGAAGGGCCAAGUGAUGAUGUAAAGAAUGAAGGUGAUGACUGGGUUUGCUGUUGGAUUCUGGACUUUUUUGGGGUGCCUUAGCAUUCAAGAAAAAGUGGAGGCAUGCCUAUUUCCAUUGGAUGGACAGCACAUACAAGAAGAUGUAUGUUUAUGUUGCAGUGAGGUUUGCAAGAUUGAGGGUUUUUGAUGGUGAUGAUGGCAAAUUAUUAGAGAGGUCGAAAAGGUUAUACAUUUAUGCUUCUAAUGUUGUAUUUGUAUUUCUUUGCUUUACUCUUUUAUAUUUGUGAAAACUUCUCCAUAUCACUGCUUCUCUACAGUGUAAAUUAGAAUAAUGUGUGACAGUAUUUUAGUGAUCCUCUAGGCUUUGCUUCACACCUGUUAUUAAUUUGUUGUGUACUUUGACACCAAUGGCAGCUCCAUGCACUGCUGAUGCUGAGCAUCAUAUUGAUUGCUUGAUUAAUUUAUGCAUGCAAUUUAAGUAUAAUGAAAUA